UUCUUAGAAGCAGCCAUCUCAUCAUGGAGCCAUCCUGCUGCUGCAGCCCAUGCAUCAGAGUGACCGUGGCUCCAGGGAAUUACUGGAAUGGCUGAACAACACCCAGGGAGGGUCCUGUGCCGAGGGCAAGCUCCAAGACCUGGGGUGUGCCGCAGCAGCGCAGGCAUUGCCCGGGCACAGAGGCUCCCUUCCUCCCUCCCCUCGGCCUCCUCCCUGCCCCCGGCCGGCCCGGCCCGGCCCGGCCCAUCUGCCCCGUGCUGGGCCUUCAAACGCGUCAAUUGCCGCCCGGGCCGCCGCAUCCCGCUCGCUCCGUGCCUCUCCUGUGCUGGUGCCUUGCACUUGGUCUGUGCCAUUCCCCUGCUUGUUCUGUGCAGCCCAAGAGUCUCAUCCUGGAAGUCUUGGGGGGUGAAGUUAGGGCUUGGACCCCGAGCAGCUGUGUGCUCCUGGGAGGUCAGCAAGACUGAGGGUGCCACUCAUGGCAGAGGAGUACAGUACACCUUGCAGGUAGAGGAGAAUCCAUAACAAGAUAAAGCAAAAAAAGAGGAGACAAGUUUUCUUUCCCAGUCUAGGAAAAAUAACCUGUUGGAUUAUAAUCUGCAAACAGUGGAGAGUACCAGCAUGAGCAACGAAGGGUCUGAGAAUCCCAUCUCAUCCACACUGACCCAGGGCCUGAAGAGAAAGAGGGGGAGACCAAAGAAGCAGCCACAGGAGGAUGGUGGAAACACAGCUGAUAUCCCACAGGAUGCUGUGGGACCACAGCCAGUGAAGAAACCACGAGGAAGGCCAAAAGGAAGCAAGAAAAUGACUGUUCUAACUGGGGGAACGGCAGAACCUUCUGCUGGGAAGAGGCGAAGAGGGAGGCCCCGCAAGUGGCCUCAAGCAGUGGUCCAAGAAGGAGAGUCUCAGGGAGAAAAUCCUCUGGAAAGCAGUGAUUUGAAUUUGAACUCAGCACCAGCCACACAAGACAUCACUGGAAAAGACGGCUCCAGGUCUGCCAAAACCACUGGUCUUAGGAGAUGUCUGAGUAACAUCCCUGCUGCAGCUCAGUAGUGUCCCACCUGUUCGUGCCUUGCUGAAGCCAGAGGAGUGGAAAGCAAACAGGACUUUUAAUGUUGUAUUUUAGAUUUUUCAUUUGUGAUAAUUUUAGCCAAGCUCUCUCCUGUUGCCUGUGGACUUGCUUACCCCAAACAUCCAAACAAGGAUUUAGGGGAAGAAAUGGCAGAUUGCCUCGUUGGAGAGAUGCCUUUUACAGUUUGUAGUAUAUCUUCUGUGAGUAUAAUAAUUUCUCUUUAAAAUACUUGGAUAACCUGGUGCCUUACCCUGCCACGGAGAGCAGUAUUUCAACAGAAGUUGACUCAGCAAUACAGCUACAGGAAAGGAAAUCUAUUUACACAGCAAAUGGCUAGCUUGUCUGCCAUAUCACCUCUGGCAGACUGAUGAAGCAGUGCCAGGAGUGAAGUUUUGCUGUGUUGCCCAUAAGGACUGUAUCUGAAAGACAGCCUUUGAGUCCUUGCUUGACUAUUUCAGGAAGAAAAACCUUCAUGGCAUUUCCAGCUUGCCCUGUACUGCUGUUCCAGUGGCCAGUAACUUGCAUGCUUUAGGGGAAGGUUUGCACCCUGAUGUCUUAGGGAUUGAUUCUGAAAUUUUUAGCUUAAUGUGAUCAGCUCAGGGCCUUCUCCCAUAACUUCUGGCCUGGUGGCUCUCCCCCUGAGUUUGAUAGCAGCUCCAAGUGCACAGUGUUUACGAGCUUAGUCACAGCCACUGGAUUUCAUCUCUUCAAAGGAGUGUCUGUAAAGAACCAGUUAUACAAAAGUUGCUUCCUUGCAGAACCUCGGGAUUCAAUUUAAAUUAGUUUAAAUUCAGUCCCUAACAUGCGUGUGUGGGGUCCUCUAGUGUCACAACUAUGCAAAUAAAAGCUGCUGAUAGUUCAGUUUUGGGA